rnacentral:lncRNA from 1 species
AGCCCACACUGCCCAGAUGCUUAUUCUGCAUGAAUCCUGGCUCAGUUCCCCAGGUGCUCAUUCCAUGAGCAGUUUUGCUCCCAAGUCCUUAUGAAGAAACCAGCUCAGCUACGAAUUAUAAAGUCUUGACAUGUGUUAGUUCUACCAUUUAAAAGGAUUCCAAAUGUACCCAUUCUCCAACUUCCUUGGUUAAAAUUCCAACCAACAUCACAUGAGCUUCAUGAUUCUGGGAACACUGGCCAGCCUGAAUGAAGCUCUCUUCCUCUUACAAGCAUUGAAAAACCACAUAACAGAAGCACUGCGUAAAAGCACAGACUUUGAAAAUGUCCAGGGCCAAUGUUGCCCUUGGAGACUUUAUGAUCACAGGACUUAAAGACCAAGACAGCAAAGUUUUCAGGUACUGGCAAUAGUUAAAAUACUCAUUGGAGAAGAAUCUCUAUCAGUUCUCAUCUUCUG